GACGAACGCUGGCGGCGUGCUUAACACAUGCAAGUCGAACGAUGAAGAAAAGAAUCGAAGCUUCGGCAGAAAUUCAUUUCGGAUUAGUGGCAGACGGGUGAGUAACGCGUGAGCAACCUACCUCUUACAAAGGGAUAGCCUCGGGAAACCGGGAUUAAUACUAUAUAACAUUGCGACGAAGCAUUUCGAUGCAAUCAAAGCUACGGCGGUAAGAGAUGGGCUCGCGUCCCAUUAACCGGAUGGUGAGGUAACGGCUCACCAUAGUGACGAUGGGUAACCGGCCUGAGAGGGUGAACGGUCACACUGGAACUGAGACACGGUCCAGACUCCUACGGGAGGCAGCAGUGGGGAAUAUUGCACAAUGGAGGGAACUCUGAUGCAGCGACGCCGCGUGAGUGAUGAAGGAAUUCGUUUCGUAAAACUCUGUUCUAUGGGAAGAAAAGGACUGUACCAUAGGAGAAAGCGCCGGCUAAAUACGUG
rnacentral:rRNA from 1 species